UACAGAGGGUGCAAGCGUUAAUGGGAAUUACUGGGCGUAAAGCGUGCGUAGACGGUUACGUAAGUCGGAUGUGAAAGCCCCGGGCUCAACCUGGGAACUGGCAUUCGAGACUGUGUAGCUAGGAUGCGGAAGAGGGAAGCGGAAUUUCCGGUGUAGCGGUGAAAUGCGUGAGAUAUCGGAAGGAACACCAGUGGCGAAAGCGGCUUCCUGGUCCAGCAU
rnacentral:rRNA from 1 species